GGGUAAUCCUAUCUCUCAGUAUUGUCGAAAAAGGCGCUUCGAGUGGAUCGUAUAUCACACCAUGGAAUAUCUGAGUUUCGACUUGUCCAGCAAAUCGCUAACUUUAAAGAAAUCUGACAAUAUUCCUAAGCCAGCGCCCGAUGAAGUUCGAAUCAAAGUUGCAUAUUCUGGGAUCUGCGGAACAGAUCUUCAUAUUUUAGAAGGAUCCUUCCCUUGCAAAGAAGACGGGCCUGUGACCCUCGGCCAUGAGUUCGUGGGUACGAUCGACGAGCUCGGAUCGAAUGUAACGAUCUUUAAAGUCGGCCAAUGCGUCGCCGUCGAUCCCAACAACGGAUGCAACAAGUGCGAUCACUGUCACAAUGCGAAUUACCACUAUUGCGAGCUCGGCGGUAUAAACAAUACUAUAGGAAUCUACAGAAACGGCGGAUGGGCCACACACGCGCUGGUCCCAGAAACGCAGGUGUACUUAAUUCCGGACGGAGUGGAAAUGCAUCAGGCGGUGCUGAGCGAACCGUUGUCGUGCCUGGCUCACGGCUGGGACAAAGUUAAUCCCGUGAAUGUAGGAAGUAAAGUUCUCGUAAUAGGUGCUGGUAUUAUAGGCUUACUGUGGACCUGUUUGCUUCAUCUACAUGGCCUCCGCAAGACUGUCACUAUCUCUGAACCACAAGAAAGACGUCGACAGAUAGCCGACAAUCUUGGUUUGAAUUACGAUAUUAAAAGUCCGAGUGAAAUGAAAGGGAAUUUUGACGUAGCUGUGGAUUGUAGCGGUUCCGGCCCGGCUAUGGAGGCAGCAGUGUCCUUAUUGGGUCCUGGUGGUCGUUUGUGCGUAUUUGGUGUCGCCUCUCCGCAAACAAAGCUGACAAUCGAACCGUUUCAGAUUUAUAAGAAGGAAUUGAGCAUUUUAGGAGUGAAUAUAAACCCCUACAGUUUCAGCAAAGGAUUAGCUUUGUUGCAAGCGAUGUCCGAGAAAUAUAUCAAUUACAAUAAAUUAGGGAUCAAGAUAUUCUCUUUGUCUCAACAUGAGGACGCUAUACACGCGUUGAAAAAGGGAGAAAUAAGCAAAGCUGUCUUCAAGUUAUGAAAUGUAUCGCUAAAACGACAACAAUUAUGCUGCGUAAGAGCCACUUUGAGAGUACACAUCGACUUGUGGCUGCCCAUUGGAGACCCGGGUAGUUAAUAUUUGGCGUGGAAAUUUCUGACACAACAAUAACUUACCUCAUUGUGAUUGCAACUAUUAAAACUAGGGCUACCAAAAGUCCUGAGGAAGCUGGAACUACACCAGUUCCAUAAUGAGCUUGACCACAAGCUGGCGGGCAAACAGGGAUAAUAGUUUCUGCGCAAAAAAACGGAAGGGACACAUCUAAGACAUGCCUAACUACGGAAACAAGUCCACUGUAAUUAACUGAUAAAAGAGAAGAAACGAAGGUCUUGGAAAACAAAGUGGGAUAAAGGAACGCAAUAAAAAUGUACGUUUCAACACGUAUCAAAGUUUACAACUCAAAUAAGAAGAUGCGAACGGAAUCUCACUAUUGUCAUGCACAGUCAACGUGUUGAACAGGGAGUUCGCAUCCAGCAAUGAUCGUUCCAACUAGACACGUAAUCUACAAUCGAUGUAUCAUGUACGUAAGAAAAAUGCGAAUAUACCUCUUCCGUCAUUCUCUUACCGAAAA